AGGCAGCCGUGGCUCCCUGCUCCCGAGGCACGCGCGCCCCCUGGAGGCCACGAGACCCCCCCGCCACGCUCCCCUCUUUCUGCUAGGAGCCUCGCGCCCCCUGGUGGCGCAAACUCCCUUAGAGCUUUCGGUUAGUCGCAGGCCGAAGGGAGGGAGCUCGCUGGCUGCGCCCGGCACAUGGGGGGCAGGGGAGGAGCCGAGUCUGUGCUGUGUUAGUGGCCGUUUGUGGAGCGGAGGAAGGUUUUCCCCUUUCAACACAUGUAAAAAAUAAAGUAUGCUGUGAACAGAUAUAUACAGUAAAUUGCUGCUAACCAGAAUCCUCGGAGACUAAAUCCUGGAGCACCUUAAAUGAGCCAGAUUGACGUGGUUGACUGGGCCCUUCCGGAUUGUCAUGCAGCAUCCUGUACACAUCAGAUUGAGGUACAGAGGUUGGUACUGGUUCACUGCAACAUGAACAAGGGAUGAGCAGAAAUCCUAUUGAGAGAGGACUGUAGGAGUUGGCCUUAUAUCCUGAAGAGAGAUUUACAACUGAGAUGGUGUUAUUACUGUAUUUAAUAAAGGAUAAUAUGAAUGUAACCUGUUUUGGGUUGUAAUCCGCAACAGUUGCUUUAGGAAUUUUCAACAUAAUAAAUUAAAAUUUCUCUUUUGGCAAACGUGACUUUAGGUACCAAAUAAGCAGAAUUUGCUUAAUGUAUAUGUUCAGUCCAGAGGGUAAAAAACUAACUGGCAACCACUGCUGUUGCGACUACUUUGCAAUUGCAAAGCACCAUUCAUCUGAGGCUAAUAAAUAAUACUUGCGAUUUGAAGUAUACAGAACUUUCCAUUGUUAAAGCACUUUACAAAUAUUAACUAAUGAAGACCACAAAGCUUGAUCACUUUUCUUAUCAAAUUAAUUUUUGCAUCUAAUUUCCCAUCUGCAAUCCUGAAAAAUGGUCAUUUGUUUAAAUAUGUUCACUGAAAAUGACAAGUAUCUUUUACAAAGCAUAUUUAAAAAAUGAAUUUUCAGAACAUAUAUUAUGAAACAAUCCUAAAUAUUCAAGAUUAUAUAGAAUGAGAGUGCUUACUAUAAGAAUAAAUACAAAAAUAUAUGACCUCUUAUAGACAGUCCCAACAUUCAUCUAAAAGAGAAAAAGGUGAUAUUAAUAUAGUUGAACCUUGUAAAUUCUCACUGUGAUGGUCUACAAGUCCAAACAUUGUCACAAAAAACAGUUUCACACCACUUCUCUGCAAAGAUUUAACAACGGUGUGCUAUAGUGGGGUCACACGUAGAUUGUGACCUGUCCUUUGUGCCAACACAAGGAAGUAAGGGGGCAUCAGGUACACUCUGACUCCUCUGUGCCUGUGCUCUAUACUGGCAGUUCUUGUGCAUGGGAGGAGCAGGCCACAUAGAGUAGAGCUAUUGCAUCCCCACUUCCUGCAGGUGAGUAGGAAAGGGUGGAAUGCACAGGGAGUGGGUGGACUGCAGACUGCAGUUAAGCUGGCACAUUGGGAAGCAUACUCUACAACAGAUCUAGACCUAGUGCAGUUUACUUCUUCUCAACAGCUGUAGGGAGACUGAGGGAGAGAGAGAGAGAUUCCCAAAAUCUCCCAUCUAGGGCACCCCAGAGGGCAGUGCAACAAUGUGCUGUCCCUUGCAAUGCACUAGAUCAUAAUCUGAUGACCUAUCCCUAAAACACUAAACUUUUCAUGGUAUGGAUCUUGUCAUUUGUAUGUGUCUGUGAGAUGUGUAACAGCUGUAGAAAUAAUAACUAAGAAUAUACAUAAUUAAAACUAAACUUCAUUUGUCAAAACAAAUGAACAACAUCCUUAAUCUUUUUUAUUGUACCGGUUCACUAACUGGACAGUUCACAAAAUUUGAUAAUCUGCAUGUGUCUGGCCAUCAUGAAUAGGAUGUCAAUGAGGUUCAUGCCAACUGCUUUGACUUCUCAGACUGCUGUAUCAGACUUGAGUUGCUUGAAUUAUGACACAAAUAUUUUUUUACUUUGAAAAUAAAGUACAGAACUGAAGCCACUGGUAGUAACAAAACCCCUGUACUGGAAGGCAGUGUCCAUAGAAAUUUGCCCACUCAAGCCUGUGAGGCCUCCUAGCCUAUGUAGCCACAGAGGCUGCCUUUGAUUCUAGAAGGAUACUUUUCCUUCUGUUGUGAUCAAGUAAUAUUGUUUCAG